AUGAACGCUAGCGACAGGCUUAACACAUGCAAGUCGAGGGGCAGCACAGGUAGCAAUACCGGGUGGCGACCGGCGCACGGGUGAGUAACGCGUAUGCAACUUGCCUAUCAGAGGGGGAUAACCCGGCGAAAGUCGGACUAAUACCGCAUGAAGCAGGGGUCCCGCAUGGGGAUAUUUGCUAAAGAUUCAUCGCUGAUAGAUAGGCAUGCGUUCCAUUAGGCAGUUGGCGGGGUAACGGCCCACCAAACCGACGAUGGAUAGGGGUUCUGAGAGGAAGGUCCCCCACAUUGGUACUGAGACACGGACCAAACUCCUACGGGAGGCAGCAGUGAGGAAUAUUGGUCAAUGGGCGUAAGCCUGAGCCAGCCAAGUCGCGUGAGGGAUGAAGGUUCUAUGGAUCGUAAACCUCUUUUAUAAGGGAAUAAAGUGCGGGACGUGUCCCGUUUUGUAUGUACCUUAUGAAUAAGGAUCGGCUAACUCCGUGCCAGCAGCCGCGGUAAUACGGAGGAUCCGAGCGUUAUCCGGAUUUAUUGGGUUUAAAGGGUGCGUAGGCGGCCUUUUAAGUCAGCGGUGAAAGUCUGUGGCUCAACCAUAGAAUUGCCGUUGAAACUGGGGGGCUUGAGUAUGUUUGAGGCAGGCGGAAUGCGUGGUGUAGCGGUGAAAUGCUUAGAUAUCACGCAGAACCCCGAUUGCGAAGGCAGCCUGCCAAGCCAUGACUGACGCUGAUGCACGAAAGCGUGGGGAUCAAACAGGAUUAGAUACCCUGGUAGUCCACGCAGUAAACGAUGAUCACUAGCUGUUUGCGAUACACUGUAAGCGGCACAGCGAAAGCGUUAAGUGAUCCACCUGGGGAGUACGCCGGCAACGGUGAAACUCAAAGGAAUUGACGGGGGCCCGCACAAGCGGAGGAACAUGUGGUUUAAUUCGAUGAUACGCGAGGAACCUUACCCGGGUUUGAACGCAUUCGGACCGAGGUGGAAACACCUUUUCUAGCAAUAGCCGUUUGCGAGGUGCUGCAUGGUUGUCGUCAGCUCGUGCCGUGAGGUGUCGGCUUAAGUGCCAUAACGAGCGCAACCCUUGCCACUAGUUACUAACAGGUAAAGCUGAGGACUCUGGUGGGACUGCCAGCGUAAGCUGCGAGGAAGGCGGGGAUGACGUCAAAUCAGCACGGCCCUUACAUCCGGGGCGACACACGUGUUACAAUGGCGUGGACAAAGGGAAGCCACCUGGCGACAGGGAGCGAAUCCCCAAACCACGUCUCAGUUCGGAUCGGAGUCUGCAACCCGACUCCGUGAAGCUGGAUUCGCUAGUAAUCGCGCAUCAGCCAUGGCGCGGUGAAUACGUUCCCGGGCCUUGUACACACCGCCCGUCAAGCCAUGGGAGCCGGGGGUACCUGAAGUCCGUAACCGCGAGGAUCGGCCUAGGGUAAAACUGGUGACUGGGGCU
rnacentral:rRNA from 1 species